AAUAAUGAAUGUUGUACCAUAAAAGUAUCACUCAGUUAUCACUUAUCAGUUUGUGUAUGUCGCAUUGCCAUAUCGCGUAUACGAAAACAUAAUAUUGUGUUGAUUUUUAUUUGCGUGUCUUAACUUUUGGUGGCUACUAUUUUAUUAGUACUAUAAAGUAGGUGGUACACUGCAGUUGUGGUAUAGGUACCUACGUAGAAUUUUAAUUUAUACUAUAUUAAAAAAAUCAAUUAACAACCGUGACCCAACGAACGACGACUGUAUACAUUGAUAAUCAUUCCGUGCAUCACAUUUGUUACGUUAUUAUAUAUUUUAUAAUAAUGUCAAUUAUGGAUUAGUAAUUACCUGCUGGCUGCUACACACACACACACACACACACACAAUAUAUGUCUUUAAAUUUCGAGUAGGUCGAAGGAAGGCGAAAACUCUAAGACGCUGUAUUUGCUAUAAUGUAUAGGUAGGAGGUACCUACAUACAUACACAAACAACUCGAUAUAAUAAUUUGAUGUAUUUUCAUUUUAUCUAGCUAUAAGAUGUAUAAUAUGCUAUAUGUAUGAAUAAAAUUCUUCGUUAUUAUGUUUGUCCUUUCGAUAACGGACUGUCAUAUAACUAUAGGAACAAUGCAAAUACAUUUUUUCUUAUUCUUAAAACUAUUAAUUUAUUAGGAUUUAUUUAAAUAUUUUUCAGUGAUUAUAAUGUGCAUAUUACAUUUACACUAUAUACAGUAUACAGGUAAUCAAAGAGAUGAAAACAUUAGCCGAGUAUGAUAUGAAAAUUUCAACAAUCUGUACCUACAUUUUAUUAGUACAAUAAGCUGAAGAGAUGGAUGGAUAUAGAACUUUAUUGACAUGAAUAUAUGAAGGGACCAUCCAGCGACGGCACUUCAGCGAUGGGAGUUACUUAUUAAUUUAUUACUUAUUAGUUGUAAUUGUGGCAUGCAGGUACUGUGUAGGCUUAGCUGAGGAAAUCCCGAAGCCACUGGCGCUUGAGUCUUUUAAUAGGAUUUCAAGGAGUGUGAUUGAGGAUAGAUUAUGUAUAAGACGAUUUGUAUAGUUAGGAAGGCAUUUGUAGAAACGUGUGUAAUUAAUUUUGGCUACUGCCUACUUUGUUUAUCGCGGGAAUUUUUAGGUCUGUGUGUAGAGUAUGGUUGGAGACGUAUGGAGGGGUAUUAGUAAUUAAUUGGAAUAUUUGAAUUUUUUGUAUAUUCGUUUUUUUUGGCAGAGCCCCAGAUUUGGAUGCCGUAAGUCCAUAUGGAUUUGAGAAAUAAAUUAUAAAGGGUAAUUUUGGUUUUUAUAUUAAGCUUUGAGGAUUUUCCUAGGAUGUUGCCGUUGCGAUGGAGUGAGAGUCUGCAGUCAAGUGAAAUUUUUAUGCUAUGGAUAUGUUUAACUCAUGCUAUUCUUUUGUCAAAGAGAAUAUCCAGGUAUUUAUCGGUAUCAGAAUUUGGGAUGAGUUUAUUAUUUAAAGAAACAGAUAGCGGUGGUCGUUGUUUGAGAGUGAAGGAAGUAGAGAUUGAUUUGGAUUCAUUUAUUUUUACCUUCCACUGAGAGUACCAAGAGGAGAGAUAUGGGUUUGUAACAGUAAUAUUAUUAUAAUUAUUAGUAUAAUAUUAUAUUAUUAUUACAUUAUUAUAUUUCGGAA